rnacentral:rRNA from 1 species
UACUAGUUGUUGGUGGAGUAAAAUCCAUGAGUAACGCAGCUAACGCGUGAAGUAGACCGCCUGGGGAGUACGGUCGCAAGAUUAAAACUCAAAUGAAUUGACGGGGGCCCGCACAAGCGGUGGAUUAUGUGGAUUAAUUCGAUGCAACGCGAAAAACCUUACCUGGCCUUGACAUGUAACGAACUUUCCAGAGAUGGAUUGGUGCUCGAAAGAGAACGUUAACACAGGUGCUGCAUGGCUGUCGUCAGCUCGUGUCGUGAGAUGUUGGGUUAAGUCCCGCAACGAGCGCAACCCUUGCCAUUAAUUGCCAUCAUUUAGUUGGGCACUUUAAUGGGACUGCCGGUGACAAACCGGAGGAAGGUGGGGAUGACGUCAAGUCCUCAUGGCCCUUAUGGCCAGGGCUUCACACGUAAUACGAUGGUCGGUACAGAGGGUUGCCAACCCGCGAGGGGGAGCCAAUCCCAGAAAGCCGAUCGUAGUCCGGAUUGUAGUCUGCAACUUGACUACAUGAAGUCGGAGUCGCUAGUAAUCGCGGAUCAGCAUGUCGCGGUGAAUACGUUCCCGGGCCUUGUACACACCGCCCGUCACACCAUGGGAGUGGGUUUUACCAGAAGUAGGUAGUCUAACCGUAAGGAGGACGCUUACCACGGUAGUAUUCAUGACUGGGGUGAAGUCGUAAUCAAGGUAGCCGUA